rnacentral:misc_RNA from 1 species
UAAUAAGUGUUUUAUGGCACUUUUUAAAUCCAUAUCCACCUUGUGUGCAAUGUCAGUCGAGUUCUUUUCGUUCAAUGGAAAAGGAUCGACCAAACAUCAACCUUUAUCUUUUAACUCUUUGUCUGAAAAAUAUUAUGAAUAAACAAUUCAAAAUA